rnacentral:rRNA from 1 species
GAUGAACGCUGGCGGCGUGCCUAACACAUGCAAGUCGAACGAAGCACCUUACCUGAUUCUUCGGAUGAAAGUUUGGUGACUGAGUGGCGGACGGGUGAGUAACGCGUGGGUAACCUGCCCUGUACAGGGGGAUAACAGCUGGAAACGGCUGCUAAUACCGCAUAAGCGCACGAGGAGACAUCUCCUUGUGUGAAAAACUCCGGUGGUACAGGAUGGGCCCGCGUCGGAUUAGCUGGUUGGCAGGGUAACGGCCUACCAAGGCAACGAUCAGUAGCCGGUCUGAGAGGAUGAACGGCCACAAUGGAACUGAGACACGGUCCAAACUCCUACGGGAGGCAGCAGUGGGGAAUAUUGCACAAUGGGGGAAACCCUGAUGCAGCAACGCCGCGUGAGUGAAGAAGUAUUUCGGUAUGUAAAGCUCUAUCAGCAGGGAAGAUAAUGACGGUACCUGACUAAGAAGCUCCGGCUAAAUACGUG